UACGUAGGGGGCUAGCGUUGUCCGGAAUUAUUGGGCGUAAAGAGCGUGUAGGCGGUUCGAUAAGUCUGCUGUAAAAGUCGGGGGGCUCAACCCUCGAAGGCCGGUGGAUACUGUCGAGCUAGAGUACGGAAGAGGCGAGUGGAAUUCCUGGUGUAGCGGUGAAAUGCGCAGAUAUCAGGAGGAACACCAAUUGCGAAGGCAGCUCGCUGGGACGUUACUGACACUGAGGCGCGAAAGCGUGGGGAGCGAACAGG
rnacentral:rRNA from 1 species